GGAGAGGUGCCCGGAGCGGCUUAUCGGGUUCCUAACGCGAGUCAGGAAGGGCCUCGGCCCGCGCAGGUUCGAAUCCUGCCCUCUCCG
rnacentral:tRNA from 1 species